GGUGGGGAGGGAUCGGUCAGUCGGUUUUAUUUAAAAUCCUUUGAAGCAGCAGUGCGAGACCGGCCCCUUGAACUCAAAUCGCCACACAGCGCAGCCUACCGGUGACCAGCUAACCCACCAGCCGUGGUUGGGCGCCGUCCACGGGGCAGGGCGCCCGACCUCCCGGCGGGCAGCGGCGGGAAUUGAAUCCCGGGCCGCCGGUUCAGUCAAGGGUCGCGUAAUCCUUAGCGACACUCACAGUGUCACACCUCACACUCUCGUCCGCACUCAAUUCUUGGACGGUCCCUAAUUAAGGGGACUUUGGCGCGAGGUCGCAGAGGAAAUAAAGAAGGAUUUUAGACAUGACGACGGUCUGCUGGCUUAAAUCUCACCCACUUUGGGACAACGGGUACAGAGGUUCGAAAGCAGUGACCUCUACGGAAACUGCCACUGCAAGUUUACAACUGAAAAUGGACCCGCACUUGGAAACGCAAACACGAGGAAUUCUGCAGACGCUGGAAGUCCGAGCAACACACGUCAAAGUUGCUGGUGAACGCAGCAGGCCAGGCAGCAUCUCUGGGAAGAGGUACAGUCGACGUUUCGGGUCGAGACCCUUCGUCAGGACUAACUGAAGGAAGGAUUUUAUCCGUACCCGUAUAAGAUUUGUGUUCUGCACACUACACCCUGGUUUGGAGAAACACACAUCAAAGUUGCUGGUGAACGCAGCAGGCCAGGCAGCAUCUCUAGGAAGAGGUCCAGUCGACGUUUCGGGCCGAGACCCUUCGUCAGGACGAACUGAAGGAAGAGUAUUUGUGACGAAUUGGGCUGCCCGACUUUGGACUCGCUCGACGGGAGUAGUGAUUUUGUUUGUGUAUGGAGUCCCAUGCAGCAACUGCUUAUUCCAAAUGUGGCCCAACGAUGGUGAGGUACAACUUCUCCUUAACUGAAGAUGAACAAUCAGGAAAACUGCACCUCAAAAAUUUUAGGACUCCCAUUGCAUGAUGCAUCUGACUAUUCCAGCGUAGAUCAUUCUGGAUUUCGAUACCAAGAUACCCGAUCUGUUUGGUUUCUUCAGGGGUAACACCUAGGAUUUUAUAUGAUGUUUCACCUGGUUUUCUCUUCCUGGUGACACGCAUGGUUUCACGUUUGGGAGAAUUGAACUGCAUGCCCCAUUGCUGAGACCGGUAAACCAUACUAUCAAGAUCUUUUUGGAGAACAUCUUCAUCAUCGGUUGACUUAAUUGGCCGGGAUAUCAAACAAUCAUCAGCAAAAAGUCUGAUUUAUUAUUUCAACCGUGGAAAGCAUCACAACCUGGUACGGAAGUUGUCCUGUCCAAGACCGGAAGAAGCUGCAGAAGAUCGUGAACACGGCCCAGCACAUCACACAGACCAAUCUUCCGUCCGUGGACUCACUUUACACCGCACGCUGUCGGAGCAGUGCUGCCAGGAUAAUCGAGGACACGACCCACCCAGCCAACACACUUUUCGUCCCUCUUCCCUCCGGGAGAAGGCUCAGGAGCUUGAAGACUCGUACGGCCAGAUUUGGGAACAGCUUCUCUCCAACUGUGAUAAGACUGCUGAACGGAUCCUGACCCGGAUCUGGGCCGUACCCUCCAGAUAUCCGGACCUGCCUCUCGGUUUUUUUGCGCUACCUUACUUCCCAUUUUUCUAUUUAUGAUUUAUAAUUUAAAAUUUUAAUAUGUACUAUCGAUUUGUACGCCAGGGAGCGGGAAGCGCAGAAUCAAAUAUCGCUGUGAUGAUUGUAUGCUCUGGUAUCAAUUGUUUGGCGACAAUGAAGUAUAAAGUAAA